CCCAAAAAAAUCACAACUAGAACAGAGAAAACGAAGGAAAAAAUUGUUGGGAAAAAGGUUCAUAUUCCAUUCUGAAGUCAUGUUGCUCGAUUAUUACAUUUGUCUCCUGCACAGUUCAAUAGUAACUACACAGCAUUACUAUGGAGAUGACUCUUCUUAAAGACCAUUUACUCUAACACAACAACUAGAUAUGAUAUGCAGAUCCUUUGUUGCAGCACAAAACAUCUUCGUAAAAGAGCAAAUAUAAAGGAAGGACUAAUUAAAGAUUAUUCACACAUGAUAAAAAGGGCCGAAGAGAUAAGGAACAGUCAGAGUUCGCUAUGAUUGAUUUCUACCUUCCCAAGCAAGAACGGUAAGAUUGUUUUGUUAUAAUAUGAUUAUGAAUUUUUGAGGUCCUUUGAUAUGUAUACUUUGGAAAAUUAAUCAAAUAAAGUUACAACGCUAUUUUGAAUAA